CGUCCCCUCCUCUGCUCUGCUCCGCUCUGCGCUAAUAAAUGCCACGCCUCGCCACUAAACCCCCCUUCCUCUGCUGCACAACCUGCCACGAGAUGGCUUCCUGUUCCUCAUCGCCAUGGCCACCCAUCCCUCUCCUCCUCCUCCUGCUCCUCUUCUUCUUCCUCCUCGCCUCCCCCUCCCCCGUCCUCGCCGCACCAGCAGCCUCCUCCCAACAGCAGGCUGAGAGCGGCGGCAAUACGACGGCGGCGGCGUGGACGCCGCGGCUGCGGAAUACGUUCCUGGACGGCGGCGUGGAGCGGUGGCGCGGGCGGCGGCUGGUGGGCCGGUUCCAAGUGUGCGCGGUGUGCACCUGCUGCGGGGGGCCCCACGGGAUGUGCAUCCCGGCGCCCUGCUGCUACGCCAUCAACUGCAACAUCCCCAACCGCCCCUUCGGCGUCUGCUCCUUCACCCCGCGCACCUGCAACUGCCUCAACUGCCACCUCUAGCCGGCCGGAUCCUCCUCCAGGCUUGCCGACGGCGACCGAGAGACCAAUGGAUUCAUGAGGCAGAGGAGAGACUCUUUAUCAUGUGGUUGGUGCGGGGAUGCAGUUUGUUGUGUUAGUGAUGACCAUCAGCUUCUGUUACCGCAGUUAAUCUGAUUUCUUGAGCUUGACAACACGAUUUAAUGAAAAAACAUUCAGGUGUUUUAAUAAGCAAUACUGUUAUGGUUUUUGAACUUACUUGCACAACUUAAUGAAAAAUAACAAUUGGAUGUUGGAGACUUGGAGGGAGCACUGUUACUUGUAUUGUUAGCGCCUUUUUUUUCUUUGUUGUUUUUAUUUUGAACUUGAAACCUGAUCUUUUUAUCAUAAAUAGGAAAGUUUGGCAUGUCUGUGAUGUUGCAUAGAACUGGCAUAACAUGCCUCUGUUCUUGUUGUCCUUAGAUUCCUGUACCUAUAAGCCUGAUGUCUUCUUCAAUGGAAGUCAAUGGUGUGGUUGAACAUUGUCUGUUUUACACUCUUGUUUUCGUCUCAAGCCCUUGUCUCAGUUGACGAUACGUUCAUGCUUUCAUGGCGUUGUCGUUGACACUCGUCCUAAGCUAGGUUUCUGUCCUAUUCGCCUCUUC